CUCCGAGCUGCCGUCAUUGUGUCCAACUGUAGCUGUGCUGUCUGUGCCUCCAGGAACUACAAUACAUCUACAAACUAUAUAAUAAUACAUGUACUAUCAACAAAGGUUUUUGCGGGUCAUACCGUGUGUAACUGCUGCUGUGUCUCUGUACGGGGGUUCGGAAGUUUUCAGUGUAGGGCUGCCAGAACAACAUCGUGUCCCCCCCUACACACACACACACACACACACACACGCACACACCAGCUGUCGCCUCACUCCUGCUGCAAACAAUCACGACUCAGCCCCGGUACCGAAGAGGUCCAAAUGGCAGCUCAUGGUCGUCUCAGGUCAGGUCAGCGCUGAACGAAGAGGAGUCCAGACCCACUGAAGUUGGUUGCGGACUUGUUGUGCGUCCCCUGGUCAAUAAUUAAUCACCGGCUGGUCGGACCCUGGACGUGGCGCGCGGUCAAGUCUGUGGGUGGCGAAGUUUUUCCGAGUUGGUUACACGCGCUAUUUCGGCUCAGAGGGGGAAGACCCGCCUCAUGACUUAAUUAACGUCCCUCUGGCUGACAAUUCAGGAUAUGGAUACAGCUGUCAGACCCGGGAGCAAAACACAGAUAGGAUUAAAUCUAGACGGAAAACAUCAAUUGAUGUCUUACAGGCGCAGAUUAAAAACCCAUAUCAUACCAGAUUUUAAGAAUGAAAGGCAGUUUGCAAACUUUUUAAAAAUGUCCACACAAAUAAAUAUUGUGCAUUCUUUUCUUUUUUUUUUUUUUUUUUUUUUUUUUUAGCAAAUUGUAAUCGAAGUUUCAAAAGUACUAAAAGUACUGAAUAACCCCUUGCAGUGUUAUAAUGUAGAAUUAUUACUGAUCCUUUAAUAUGUAGAAAAAGUAAAACAUUGUGGAGAAGUAUAAAGGGUGAUACUAAAUUUAAGCCCAAGUACCUCAGAAUGGUGCUUAAGUGCACAUGUAGAGCUUGUAGAUGACCAGCCAUGUCUCCUCAAAUAUAACUAAUGUGUUUGCCUAAGAAGGGAAUUGAUUUGAGUAUUAACUGCAGGGACUUGGCAGUUAGGGAGGUGUGCAGGGAGGGCAGGGGGUUCACAGGUACUGACUGGUACUGUAUCUGGGACCCUCUUUAGCUGCACCUAAAUUUACAGCCCACAGAACAGAUGCAAACAUGAAACUCAGCACUGGUUUCUCAAAUUGCUAUGUUGCAUAAGACAUAAAUGUUAUCUUUUGCACCACGUCUGGAUUAGCCCACUUCAUUAACUGGUACACACUGUGAACAUUUUCCUGCACAAUUUCUUACCAGAGCCUCAGCUGCUGCUCUACCAAUUAAUCUGUCAAUAAACAAUUAAUCAAAUAGCUGAUCAACAGCAGAGAGGACUUGUUGAUUUUCUUUGUCUUGAGAUAGGUCUGACCCCCAGCAUUUUAAAUUCCUGCCAAAAUUAAUGAUUAUUAUUCACUUUUACUUUGAUUAUCAGUUCAUCUCCUGAUUUUCUUGAUUAACUGAUUAGGAAAGGAAAAUGAAGACACGAAAAGAAAUGAAAAAUAUUUGUAGUUUCCAAGAGUCUAAAAUGAUGUGUUGAUGUUGAUGAAUGUCUUGUUUUUUAUUCAGUUUACAGUUAAAUAAAACUGAGAAAGGAAAAAAAACUGCUGGGGCCAGAGAAUGUUUGUUGUUUUUGCUUGAGAAAUUACAAUUUGUUGAUUAUCAAAACAGAUGAAUUUUCUGUCGACUGACUAAUCAACUAAUUAUUUCAGCUCUGAUUAUGGCCUCUCACAGUGGGACUCCUCCACACUGCAAAAAAUCACAGAGGCAGGGCUUAUCAUGAUCUGUACAAGGUCUUUAUUGUAUUGUAAGCACAGCUUUGUAAAUGCGCGGAGGAAACACAACAGUGAAAACUAGAAUGUUACAAGAAGAAGAGGAAGGAAAGAAAGACACGAUGAAGAGAAGA